GACGGGGCGGGGCUUGAGCAGGGGGCGGGUCGGCUCAGCAGGCCCCUCCCCGGCCCGCGCGCCGGGAACAAAGACGCUCGCGCGCCCGUGGGGAGGACCCCCGCCCGCCGCCCGCCGCGCCUGCGCCCCGCGACCCCCCGGCCAGGCCCGGGGCUGGGGCGCAAUGGCGGCGGGAAGACACGCGCCUCCUGCGGUCAAGCCCUGUUCCUCCAUCCCGCAAAGCUUCCUCACGCGGCCCGGGGCACAGCUAGGUGGCCACGGCCGAUCUCGUCACGCGCGGAGCCGCGCGCCCGCCCGGCAGUCAGUCGCACAGGCUGACGCCCAGCCCACUGUCCCGUACAGGCCCAGCCGCAGCCGUUUCCUCACCCCUACUCCCCAAACGCCACCAGCGCAGCAACUGGAAAGAGAGUCCUUCUCUAGAGGCGCCCAUCACAGAGAACCGCCCAAACUGAAGACACCUGUGGUCCCAGUGGAGCCGGUCAGACAGAUGUUGAACCAGUCAGGACAGCUUACCACAUUUCAGAGACGAAAAACUGAGGCACAGAGAGAUUAAGGGACAUGUUCACGGACACACAGCUAAGAGGUGGCAGGGAUGGGAUUCAAACCCAGAGAGCCUGGCUUGAAUCAAUGCUAUGUUCCUUCCUACAUAGUAACACAGCAGACAGGAAUCAGACCAAGUUCCCACUCCAGUAGCGGAUACAGAAAUGCCCACAGAGGACCGAUCAGUGUGAUCAGGCCCCCUGGAUCCCUGAGAAGGGACACAGACCUCACUUAGACCUUUGGUGGCUAUGGGGACGGAGCAAAGUGAGAAACGGUGUCCUGUGUGCGUGAAGAUGCGGCAGGUCCAGAAACAAGGUGACCAUUUGGUCUGUAGUGGCAAUCCAGGUGUUCUGUGGCUUUUUUUCAACUAAAAUAUAAACAUUUUUAGAGAUGCAUGAUUCAAGUGUCCACAUAUAACAAUUUAGUUACACGUACGUAUUCGAAAUCACCUAUUAUUUAAAACAAUACAUUAAUUUAUGAAUAUUGACUUUUCCCACUCUUACCUUUGCAGUAACAUUCAAACUCUUUACAUAAAUCUUUCUUUCUUUGUAGAAAUCACUGGAGUCGCUUUUUGAGUCAUCUAAUACAAUUCCUGAAAGCACACUCACUGCCCUCUAAGUUGUCUGAGAGAGCACACUUCUGAAAAACCAACUUUAUUGAGGGAUAACUUACAUGUAAUAGAAGGCACCCACGUUAAGGGUAAAGUUUGGUGAGCUUUGACAAAUGUAAAC